CCUACGGGGGGGCUGCAGUGGGGAAUAUUGGACAAUGGGGGGAACCCUGAUCCAGCCAUGCCGCGUGUGUGAAGAAGGCCCUCGGGUUGUAAAGCACUUUCAGUGAGGAAGAACGCCUGGUGGUUAAUACCCAUCAGGAAAGACAUCACUCACAGAAGAAGCACCGGCUAACUCCGUGCCAGCAGCCGCGGUAAUACGGAGGGUGCGAGCGUUAAUCGGAAUUACUGGGCGUAAAGCGCGCGUAGGUGGCUUGAUAAGCCGGUUGUGAAAGCCCCGGGCUCAACCUGGGAACGGCAUCCGGAACUGUCAAGCUAGAGUGCAGGAGAGGAAGGUAGAAUUCCCGGUGUAGCGGUGAAAUGCGUAGAGAUCGGGAGGAAUACCAGUGGCGAAGGCGGCCUUCUGGACUGACACUGACACUGAGGUGCGAAAGCGUGGGUAGCAAACAGGAUUAGAUACCCUUGUAGUC
rnacentral:rRNA from 1 species